CCGGUGCCUGCUCAAACCUCCCAUAGAAAGUGUUAAGUGAAUCAGGAAGCUGAUUGUCGCUGUCAGGUGUGGGGGUGGGUUUCUUUUUGUAGUUUGUCAUGUUUUGUAAUUUUUUCCAGAUAGAGCGAGUGUCACUAUUAGGGAUUUGUUCUUCUAAUUUAGUGGCAUAGUUGGAUUUGGCUCUUCUUAUUGCAGAUCUCAGUUUGUAUUUGGCUGCCAUAUAUUGUUCUUUAUUUCCUGUCAAAUGUGCUCUAUUUUUCUCCUUUCUUAUUAUCUUAAUGUCCUGGUUAAACCACGGUUUAUUAUUAUUGUAGUGUUUGACUUUUUUGAGUGGAAUGCACAGGUCAACGCAGUAAUUGACGUAUGACGUCACUGCUUCGGUGACGUCGUUCAGGUCACCUGCGGCAUGGAAAAUAUCCCAGUCCGUGCACGCGAAACAACCCCGAAGUUGUUCAAUGGCUUCGGGGGACCAGCACCCGAGAAAGGUUGUUGGUGUUUUGGAGGAUUUAACUUUUUGCCUGUAUUUUGGAAUUAGCAGCAGCAUUGCGUGGUCGGACCUGCCCAGCGGAGCCCUAGGGAAAGCACGGUAAGCCUCUCUGAUGGAGGUGUAGCAGUGGUCAAGCGUGUUGGUCCCUCUGCUGGGGCAAUUUACCUGCUGAUGGUAGCCGGGGAGCUCAGAUGAUAGGUUGGUCUGGUUAAAGUCCCCGAGGACGAUGACUGCUGUGUCCGGGUGUGAAUUUUCCAGGAGACGUAGUUGGCUAACUCGGCUAUGGUGGUGUUAGCGUUAGCCUCAGGUGGAAUGUAAACACAGAUCAUAAUAAUUGAUGCGAACUCCCGUGGGAGGAAUGAUGGUCUGCAUUUGACAGUGAGGUAUUCUAGGUGAGGGGAACAUACAUGUGUUAGUUCAGUAGAAUUUGUGCACCAGCGUUCAUUUAUCAUGAUGCAAACACCAACGCCUUUUGCCUUGCCUGAUAGUUUGGAAGAUCUAUCGGAACGAUUAAAUGUGAAGCCUUGAAAAAUUACCGCUUGGUCUGGUACUGAUUGAUCCAGCCAGGUCUCUGUCAGGCAGAUGGCAGAGCAGUCACUGUAGUCUUUGUCGGUUUGGAUCAUAAGUUGUAAUUCGUCCAUUUUGUGCCGGAGGGAUCUUACGUUUGACAGCAGAAGGGCUGGGAGCGGUGGCCGGUAAGGUCGUCUCCUGAACCUGGCAAAGGUGCCGGAGCGGCGGCCCUUUUGGGCCGGCUGCCAUGGUGUUGAGUGGCUUGCGCUGUCGAUGUUUAAUUCCAGUAAUUUCUUCUCCAGCAAGGAUGUAGAUGGGCCCAGAUCACUGUGAGAGGUGGAUCUGAGGUUUAGAAGCUCCGAUCGGGUGUACUGGAUUAUGCACGACACUUUACAAACAAAUAACGCAGACACUAAAAUGACAGACAGGAACACUGCUUGUACUGUGGCAAGCCUCACGGCCACCAUCUUCCUAUGCCUCAACUCCCCUCAAGAGAGAGAGAGAGGACAACUUGGUCUCUCAGAGCACAGCUGUAGCUGUGCUGCGGGCAAAGGCUUCUGUAGCCAUGUAACCGCUCUGCUCUUCCAGACAGCGCAUUAUGUGCAGCUGGGCCUUGACGUGGUUCCACCUUCCCUGGUCUGUACCAGUCAACCACCGAUGUGGCAUCGACCGAGAACACAGGGAAUCCAUCCAGAGGCUGUGAGUGACCUUGUGGUGAAAAAACCCAAGUCGGUUGGGAAGAGUCAAGUCCACACUCUAAAGAGCGUAUGCUGGGCCCCUACCAGAACAACACAUCUUGGCGUCUGGAGCAAAGCUGAGUGAGAUUCCCCCUCGCCCCCUUUGAUGUCCCACAUCCUAGAGGGAAUAUCCAGCUUGGAGUUAGUACCAUCUCAGCUGUGCUGACCUGGAAGUUGUCAGCAAUGACCUCUUCUUUAAGGCCAGUUGCUACUCUACAACAGUAGAUGAAAAACUCAUCAAUGACUGGAAUCUUCCUUGAAGGGCUUGGUGUUGGAAUUGCCUCUUGUCCAAUCCUAUGUGCUUUGCUCCAUUAAACAAUAUAUUGUGUUGAGGGGCAAACAGACUCCCAAAACACUUGAAACACUUCUUGAGAUGGAAACCGAGUGUAAUUUCAUGGUCUGAUCAGACACACGAAAUCUGUUGAGGACAGUUUGUGGCCCCAUGGAUAUUUCUUGCAGCUUUGCCUCCAGCUCAGCAAUAUACUCCAGGGCAUCAUCCAGUGCACCUACAAAAAAAGAAGACAAAUCAGUCUUCAUUACCAUUCAUUAGUAUUCACCCUGUAUUUUUAUUGUAUUGUUAUUCUGUAUACUUAACCGUUUAUUUAUAUUUAUUAUUAUUUAUUUAUUUGUACUGUUUUUUGUUUUUCUUUUUUUAUAUAUUAACAACAGGUUAAUUGUUGAGUGUUGUACAUUGAGGGCAAAAACCAAAGUCAAAUUCCUCGUUUCUUCGCAAACCUGGCCAAUAAAGCUUUAUCUGAAUCUGAUUUAAUAUGCAACCCCAGUUUAACAGUACGUCUGAUGUUGAUUGAAUGUUUUAACGUUAACCAUGCAAUGUUUGGCAAAAGUAUACAAUAGCCCAACAAGUGUUGAACACAAAUAACAGACAUAACAGCUAGUUAGCACACAUCUACUUACCGGCAGGGGGGCGUGUCGAGUAGUCAUGUUCCCUGGUACCUCUCCGGUCCAUUUGUGUUUUGUCCUCUCCUUCAGCUUUUCGAGCUGACACCCGUUUAUACACAGGUGUUUUCUUCGGGGCUGUGGUGUAGCUGUUCCAGUCAAAACGACUGGGAACAGCUCCAGUAUUCAGCGUAGCACUCCCGUCGUUAUAAUCAGCCGCUGAGAAUUGCCGACUACAGACCAGUGUACUCCCCUUCUGAAUUACGAAAUUAACUCUGUCUGAUCGCCCUGACCCACUGCUGUAUUGGGUAUUAGUUGGGAAGUCGUGGAAAGGUAAAUACGGUUGUUUUUGGUUUUGAAUUGGCACAUAGAGGUACACAACAGAAGCUUUUGUUUUUUGACUGCGCCAUUGUCAAAUAUCAUGGACUACUCGACCGGAAGUCCCUUUACCCGGUGAAUGCAAAAUCGAACACCGAACCAGGAAGUUGGGAGAUAGGCCUAUUGGAACGCAAACUCCUUAUACCAGCUCCAGAUGACCCUUAAUCUGAUCAUCUUCUGGAUAUUCUACAGGUCUUCUCGGGCCGUAGUGGUAGGCCUCCUGCCUGACCUUCAGGACAGGACCCAAUAGCUGAACAAGGAGGUUUUCAGAACAGUCCAGACCUUCACCGCAUGUGAACGUGUUGUAAGUCCGAUCCGGGGUCAUUUAGAUUUACAACAAUUCAGGACAUUUUCAAACCAGGUUUCUUUGGUUUCAGAGCAUGUUUUUAGCAGCUGUCAAUUCUGAGAAGCCUUUAGUUCUCUGCAUUCUUAGUUCUAAAAUGCCUGGAUAAAUCCUCCAGCAGACUCAUUUGCACGCAAAUACUUCCAUUACUUUAUACAAUGAAUUGAAUCUAGCAUGUAGAGCUGGAUUCCCCCGCUGACUUGGUUAUCUACAUGCCGUGUGCCAGAGCAGUUCUCUGGCCGUCGCAGCACACUGAACAAGUACAAUGUCUGAUCAGGUACCAGAUAUGGCUGGGGGACAAGACGGUUUCAAUUGAAAGCAAUUUAGGGCUUGAUUUGAAAAUGGGCUGGGUUAAAACAGUGUUAUUUUUGGGGCCUUGAGAAACAGCCUUCCUGAGCAGAGUACAGACCACCAGCUGGGAGGCUCUCUGGGCUGAUUGUUUCCUCUACGUCUCUCUCCUAUUAGCCCCAGUCAUCUGAAUUAUUGAUGUAUCGUUUUCAGGGCUGUUGGUUUUUUCUCUCCUCCCAAGUGACAGAUGGCUUGUGUUGUUAAGUAAUUUCUCUACUCUCUCUCCACCCUCAUCCCCCCUUUCUCCUCCCUCUCCCCCCUCUGUCCGUCUUUGACAUUGUGGUAACAAAUGUAUCGCAGGAUAAAAGGAAGUGUUAACUCUUCUUCCUGCGUUGUGUUUACAGGCCAUCUCCAUAGGCUUGACUGUGAACAACAAGUAUUGUCACGCAUCGCAGUGCCAUCCAUUUUGACCCCUCAUAUUGUGACGUUGACCGGGCUCUCCGUGGCUCGUCUGGUAUUUCCACCAGGAGCCUCUUUGGUUGACUACAGCCGUAAUGGUUUUGUCAUUGAGGGUAUCCUGAAUUUCACUCCUUUUGUUUGCCUCGAAGACUUCUUUCUCGUCAAUACUCAGCAGCAUUGUCGAUAUCUGUUUGUCAUUCUUCUGAAUUGACUGGAGCUGGUACUCUAGUGAGCAACCGGUUCCUUCCAGCCUCAGAUGCACAGUCCUUACUGCACAGCAUUCAAAUGUGGAUUUGAAAUGUGAAUGUCAACCAUACAAAUGUAGCUUUGAAGCAGCACUGCUUUCUUUCUUACAGCACUCUGACUCUCAGACUUUGCAGAAGUUGCAUUGUACGACCCUUUGUAUUAUCAACUGCAUUUUGAGACUAUAGCCCUGGGAUGUGACUAUAGCCCUGGGAUGA